GACGAACGCUGGCGGCGCGCCUAACACAUGCAAGUCGAACGAGCGAGAGAGAGCUUGCUUUCUCGAGCGAGUGGCGAACGGGUGAGUAACGCGUGAGGAACCUGCCUCAAAGAGGGGGACAACAGUUGGAAACGACUGCUAAUACCGCAUAAGCCCACGACCCGGCAUCGGGUAGAGGGAAAAGGAGCAAUCCGCUUUGAGAUGGCCUCGCGUCCGAUUAGCUAGUUGGUGAGGUAACGGCCCACCAAGGCGACGAUCGGUAGCCGGACUGAGAGGUUGAACGGCCACAUUGGGACUGAGACACGGCCCAGACUCCUACGGGAGGCAGCAGUGGGGAAUAUUGCACAAUGGGGGAAACCCUGAUGCAGCGACGCCGCGUGGAGGAAGAAGGUCUUCGGAUUGAAAACUCCUGUUGUUGAGGAAGAUAAUGACGGUACUCAACAAGGAAGUGA
rnacentral:rRNA from 1 species